CAUCCUCCAAGGCUAAAUACUCCUGACUGACCGAUAGUGAACCAGUACCGUGAGGGAAAGGCGAAAAGAACCCCGGCGAGGGGAGUGAAAAAGAACCUGAAACCGUGUACGUACAAGCAGUGGGAGCCCCACCACUAAGCCAGUGGUGAACUCCACAUACGCAUCCUUUGCUGAGGAUACGGUUAACGGAGCGAAAGCGACGUUCAACCUCAAAAGAAGCAGAGGGGGCUUAGUGGUGGGGUGACUGCGUACCUUUUGUAUAAUGGGUCAGCGACUUAUAUUCUGUAGCAAGGUUAACCGUAUAGGGGAGCCGUAGGGAAACCGAGUCUUAACCGGGCGUUAAGUUGCAGGGUAUAGACCCGAAACCCGGUGAUCUAGCCAUGGGCAGGUUGAAGGUUGGGUAACACUAACUGGAGGACCGAACCGACUAAUGUUGAAAAAUUAGCGGAUGACCUGUGGCUGGGGGUGAAAGGCCAAUCAAACCGGGAGAUAGCUGGUUCUCCCCGAAAGCUAUUUAGGUAGCGCCUCGUGAAUUCAUCUCCGGGGGUAGAGCACUGUUUCGGCUAGGGGGCCAUCCCGGCUUACCAACCCGAUGCAAACUGCGAAUACCGGAGAAUGUUAUCACGGGAGACACACGGCGGGUGCUAACGUCCGUCGUGAAGAGGGAAACAACCCAGACCGCCAGCUAAGGUCCCAAAGUCAUGGUUAAGUGGGAAACGAUGUGGGAAGGCCCAGACAGCCAGGAUGUUGGCUUAGAAGCAGCCAUCAUUUAAAGAAAGCGUAAUAGCUCACUGGUCGAGUCGGCCUGCGCGGAAGAUGUAACGGGGCUAAACCAUGCACCGAAGCUGCGGCAGCGACGCUGAUGCGUUGUUGGGUAGGGGAGCGUUCUGUAAGCCUGCGAAGGUGGCCUGUGAGGGUUGCUGGAGGUAUCAGAAGUGCGAAUGCUGACAUAAGUAACGAUAAAGCGGGUGAAAAGCCCGCUCGCCGGAAGACCAAGGGUUCCUGUCCAACGUUAAUCGGGGCAGG
rnacentral:rRNA from 1 species